CAGUCGAGCGGAACGAGUUAUCUGAACCUUCGGGGAACGAUAACGGCGUCGAGCGGCGGACGGGUGAGUAAUGCCUAGGAAAUUGCCCUGAUGUGGGGGAUAACCAUUGGAAACGAUGGCUAAUACCGCAUAAUACCUACGGGUCAAAGAGGGGGACCUUCGGGCCUCUCGCGUCAGGAUAUGCCUAGGUGGGAUUAGCUAGUUGGUGAGGUAAUGGCUCACCAAGGCGACGAUCCCUAGCUGGUCUGAGAGGAUGAUCAGCCACACUGGAACUGAGACACGGUCCAGACUCCUACGGGAGGCAGCAGUGGGGAAUAUUGCACAAUGGGCGCAAGCCUGAUGCAGCCAUGCCGCGUGUGUGAAGAAGGCCUUCGGGUUGUAAAGCACUUUCAGUCGUGAGGAAGGUAGUAUAGUUAAUAGCUGUAUCAUUUGACGUUAGCGACAGAAGAAGCACCGGCUAACUCCGUGCCAG
rnacentral:rRNA from 1 species